CCCUGGAAUGAGUAGUUGUGUCCAAACGUUUGACUGGUACUGUAUCUGUGACCAUAUAGAAAUAUAAGCAAGGUUUGAAAUUAUUAUGUUUUAAUCAAAUGUUAUAUCUGUUUGGGCUUCUUGCGGUCAAUUUGCGGUCUACAAAUAAUUUUUUUAUAUGUUCUGGCUCCUUGACCAUCCGCUCAAGAAGAAAUUGGUCCGCAGCUGUAUCCUAGUUGAUGAUCCCUGGUGUAGAUGAUCUACCAUGUACACCAACUCCAACCAUUUACAGAAAUGAAUAAAGAAAGAUGUGAACACAACUGAUGUGUUGUCUUACACACUUUGAUGUGUUUGAGAAUCAAAUGUAAAUUGUUGUACAUUUGGAAAUGUAACUCUAUGGGCAUGUGUACAGUAUAAAGCAGUGGUGCUGUUUAAGAUGAGGGAGGACAAUUUCUGUUCUUCAUGAGCAUGGCCGUAUUUCAUUUACAGCAUAUUGGAUGACUGUCAUUCAUUUUCUAUUCACCCAGUUCAAUGUAACAGUGUAAUAUAAUGUAAUAGGUUUAGGCUACUGCAUGAUACUCUAAUUUUCCUUAUACCCAUCAUGAGGUUGCCACAACGAUUGUGGACUACAGGAAAAAAACACGCCCCCAUUCACAUCAACGGGGCUGUAGUGGAGCAGGUCGAGAGUUUCAAUUUCCGUGGUGUCCACCACCAACAAACUAUCAUGGUCCAAACACACCAAGAAAGUCAUGAAGAGGGCACGACAAAGCCUUUUCCCCCUCAGGGGACUGAACAGAUUUGGCAUGGGUCCCCAGAUCCUCAAAAAGUUCUACAGCUGCACUAUCGAGAGCAUCCUGACCGGUUGCAUCACUGCCUGGUAUGGCAACUGCUCGGCAUCAGACCAUAAGGCGCUACAGAGGGUAGUGCGUACAGCCUAGUCCAUCACUGGGGCCAAGCUUCCUGCCAUCCAGGACCUACAGUAUAUACUAUGUGGUGUCAGAGGAAGGCCCAAAAAAUGUUCAAAGACUCUAGUCACCCAAGUCCUAGACUGUUCUCUCUGCUACCGCACGGCAAUCGGUACCGGAGCAUAAAGCGUCAUUAUUGUAAUUUUAUUGUUUUUUUAAUUUUUUAUAUAUUUUUUACUUGAUUUAAUAUUUUCUUAACUCUUUUUUCACAAAACUGCAGUUUUAGUUAAGGGCUUGUAAGUAAGCAUUUAACGGUAAGGUGUUGUAUUCGGCGCAUGUGACAAAUACAAUUUGAUUUAAUCUGAGGUAUGUGAAACUCAAUCAUAAUAAUAGUAAAUACACUAAUGUUAUUAUAAGAAUAAUCAUUAUUAUAUUAAUAGGCCUAAUUUAACAUUAUGUUCGGAUCUUCUUCAUCACCUCAUGAGUAGGCAUAGACCAAUGAUAAUGUAGGCCUAUAAUCUGUGUCAACAUGUACCCUUCAGACAUUUUCUUCAAAAAAUGUAAUGCAAUGUUAUGUAUGCUUAAUUAGCACCUUGUUUAUCAGUAACACAUUCACAGGUACACUGCUGCCAUGACGUGAAACACAGAACCCUGUUUGUGAUCUCUCUCACUGUUGAUCGACCUCCACCAAACCCACUCAGGGGUAACCAAACCCCUCUCAAACAACACUACGACUGACACAGCCCGCCCCAAACAGACCCCCCAACAACAUCAAUCCCCAGCGGACAACAGCGCAUGUAAGAGUCUACAGGGGAGGAUGCUCAAUUUGAAAUGGACAUUUAGCCAUUUGAUGGAUCUGCUGGAUCUGCAGCCUUGAGGAUGACAAUGAAAGAGGGACUCAUGUUUAAACUCAUGUCUUUUUGGAAACAGCACAGCAUACUGAAAUGAAUGAAGACUGCAUUUUUGAAGUGCUGCAUUAUUAUGUGCAGUCAUAAUUCUAAUCGCUCAGGAAGAGAAAAGAUGUACAUACAAUCUCUCUAUUGAUUUAAUAUUAUUUACUAAUUGUUAGUUAUUAUCCUGUCUUAAAGAUAAAGCAUUUGAAUGAUAUGUUUGAGUCUUCUCCAGUAGCAUUUUGUAAGCAUACCAUUCUCAGGCUUGUUCUUUGUCUGGUUCUUUGUUAAGUUGUAUUCGUGUAAUACGUUGUUGAUUGUAAAACUAGGGCUACAUUUUGCAGAAUUAUUUUUCUCCAGAGGAACUAAUAAAAGACAAACAUACUUUUUACUAUC